UUCUGUUAAUACUUAUUGUAAAAAAGUUCAUUGUAAAAAAAUGCUCUCUCUUAUAUUCUGGUCUGGUUGCAAAAAAAAGAAUGCAGAAUUAUGCUAAGAGGAACAGUGAGGGAGCUGAAAACUGGCAGAGGAGAACAGCAAAUUUUACUGCCAGCUGCAACCUCCAUCAGCAUAUUUGUUCUGUGUGUUACUGGUGACUCCGGGCAUGAUUCAACUCAUACAGCUCAGGUGCUUUUAAACCUGAAAGGAAAUUAUAACCACGUCCUGACACUCCAAACUGUGACUGAAUCUACUUCCAUAGAGCACAAAUGACAGCAUUUAAAACCUGGGCUCGCUCAAGUUUGUCACCACACACCCAGUCACUGACCUGUUCCCUGACGUCAGAGUCGUUUGCUCCACGGACACCCCGGAUCCCACACACAGGAACAGCAGCAAGAACCUCAGGGCAGCGUUUCGUUCCAUUGGGAAGGGAGGCAGUGGCUCCACACGCAGCACAUCUGCGGCUUUGGUCCAGCUCUGCCGCGUGAUGGGGGAGGAUCCACCACCGGAGAAAUCCUCCGUGUGCUGGGAUUUCUCCCCAAGGCAAACACCUGGCACGUUCCAGCUGCCCUAUGAAUGAAUGAGCACACAACCCGGGGAAAGUGCGCCGGGACUGAGCUGCUUGUUAAGAAAAAAAAAGAAUACAAUCAGAUGGGCUCUGAAAUCACA